UACGGGGGGGCAAGCGUUGUUCGGAAUUACUGGGCGUAAAGGGCUCGUAGGCGGCCAACUAAGUCGGAUGUGAAAUCCCCAGGCUUAACCUGGGAACUGCAUCCGAUACUGGAUGGCUUGAAUCCGGGAGAGGGAUGCAGAAUUCCAGGUGUAGCGGUGAAAUGCGUAGAUAUCUGGAGGAAUACCGGCGGCGAAGGCGGCAUCCUGGACCGGCAUUGACGCUGAUGAGCGAAAGCUAGGGGAGCAACGGG
rnacentral:rRNA from 1 species